rnacentral:rRNA from 1 species
AGAGUUUGAUCCUGGCUCAGGAUGAACGCUGGCGGCGUGCUUAACACAUGCAAGUCGAACGAACCUUCGGGUUAGUGGCGGACGGGUGAGUAACGCGUGAGAAUCUGCCCUCAGGAGGGGGAUAACGGCUGGAAACGGCCGCUAAUACCCCAUAUGCCGAGAGGUGAAAUGAAUUUCGCCUGAGGAUGAGCUCGCGUCUGAUUAGCUAGUUGGUGUGGGUAAUGGCUCACCAAGGCAUCGAUCAGUAGCUGGUCUGAGAGGAUGAUCAGCCACACUGGGACUGAGACACGGCCCAGACUCCUACGGGAGGCAGCAGUGGGGAAUUUUCCGCAAUGGGCGAAAGCCUGACGGAGCAACGCCGCGUGAGGGAUGAAGGCCUCUGGGCUGUAAACCUCUUUUAUCAAGGAAGAAGAUCUGACGGUACUUGAUGAAUAAGCCACGGCUAAUUCCGUGCCAGCAGCCGCGGUAAUACGGGAGUGGCAAGCGUUAUCCGGAAUUAUUGGGCGUAAAGCGUCCGCAGGCGGCCUUGAAAGUCUGCUGUUAAAGCGUGGAGCUUAACUCCAUUUCAGCAGUGGAAACUACAAGGCUAGAGUGUGGUAGGGGCAGAGGGAAUUCCCGGUGUAGCGGUGAAAUGCGUAGAUAUCGGGAAGAACACCAGUGGCGAAGGCGCUCUGCUGGGCCAUAACUGACGCUCAUGGACGAAAGCCAGGGGAGCGAAAGGGAUUAGAUACCCCUGUAGUCCUGGCCGUAAACGAUGAACACUAGGUGUCGGGGGAAUCGACCCCUCCGGUGUCGUAGCCAACGCGUUAAGUGUUCCGCCUGGGGAGUACGCACGCAAGUGUGAAACUCAAAGGAAUUGACGGGGGCCCGCACAAGCGGUGGAGUAUGUGGUUUAAUUCGAUGCAACGCGAAGAACCUUACCAGGGUUUGACAUCCUGCGAAUCUCUUGGAAACUUGAGAGUGCCUUCGGGAGCGCAGUGACAGGUGGUGCAUGGCUGUCGUCAGCUCGUGUCGUGAGAUGUUGGGUUAAGUCCCGCAACGAGCGCAACCCACGUCUUUAGUUGCCAGCAUUUAGUUGGGCACUCUAGAGAGACCGCCGGUGAUAAACCGGAGGAAGGUGUGGAUGACGUCAAGUCAUCAUGCCCCUUACAUCCUGGGCUACACACGUACUACAAUGCUACGGACAAAGGGCAGCAAGUUCGCGAGGACAAGCAAAUCCCAUAAACCGUGGCUCAGUUCAGAUCGUAGGCUGCAACUCGCCUACGUGAAGGAGGAAUCGCUAGUAAUCGCAGGUCAGCAUACUGCGGUGAAUACGUUCCCGGGCCUUGUACACACCGCCCGUCACACCAUGGAAGUUGGCCACGCCCGAAGCCGUUACUCCAACCCUUGUGGAGGAGGACGUCGAAGGUGGGGCUGAUGACUGGGGUGAAGUCGUAACAAGGUAGCCGUACCGGAAGGUGCGGCUG